rnacentral:rRNA from 1 species
ACAUGCAAGUCGAACGGCAGCACGGGCUUCGGUCUGGUGGCGAGUGGCGAACGGGUGAGUAAUGCAUCGGAACGUACCCGGGAGUGGGGGAUAACUAUCCGAAAGGAUAGCUAAUACCGCAUAUUCUGUGCGCAGGAAAGCAGGGGAUCUUCGGACCUUGUGCUCCCGGAGCGGCCGAUGUCAGAUUAGCUAGUUGGUGGGGUAAAGGCCUACCAAGGCGACGAUCUGUAGCGGGUCUGAGAGGAUGAUCCGCCACACUGGAACUGAGACACGGUCCAGACUCUACGGGAGGCAGCAGUGGGAAUUUUGGACAAUGGGCGCAAGCCUGAUCCAGCCAUGCCGCGUGAGUGAAGAAGGCCUUCGGGUUGUAAAGCUCUUUCGGCCGGGAAGAAAUCGUACGGGUUAAUACCCUGUGCGGAUGACGGUACCGGCAUAAGAAGCACCGGCUAACUACGUGCCAGCAGCCGCGGUAAUACGUAGGGUGCGAGCGUUAAUCGGAAUUACUGGGCGUAAAGCGUGCG